AUACGCAGUGAACCCCACUCAAAAGGCCUACAUAAAAGUGCGCGACCCGAGCGUGGUGAAUCUUUCAGUAAACAAGUGCUUUAAUUCCUGCAAUUUUUGCUUGAAAAUCCGCUUCCAACUCAUUUGCUUGUGUUUUCGAAUCGUUUUUAGUCAAAAGUAUCUUUCUCCAGAACAGGAGCAAAAUGACUGGAGGAGACUGCUGCUGCAAAUCCGGAGAGAAAUGCUGCUGCAACAGCACCGAUGGACAGUGCAGAUGCGCUGACUGCAAGAGCUGCCCGGAUACCUGUGGAUGCAAGAAAAGUGGAUCCAAAUGUCCUUGCACUAGUUGCAACUGUGGGGAAUCGGGAAAAUGCCAGACUGGAGCGUCGGGAAAGGCAUGUGGCUGCUGCGAGCACAAGUGAAGAAUCCAUAAAUCAAGGUCAAUGGCCUGAGCGCCUGCAUGCUGUGUGCCGCUGUAUGUCGGUAUCGGUAGUAAACGGUCUAUCAAGGCCAUCGAGGUUAUCAGCAUAUGUUUAGCUCGCAGUUUGUGUGUACUGAAAUGCAUGGCGUUAGAUUUCACUCCAUGAUUCUUACCGUUGAUGUUCCAUUUGUUUACGAUUCCUUUGUUUGUGUACGUUUUUUCCAUGUUGAUGUUCCAAUUGGGAUGUAUACGUACUGUACUUUACUUUCUUUUUCUCACAUACUGAAGGAAUGUGGUUGAGUAGUGUUUUCGGUUGCCAUAAAUUCGAUUCGAACUGUUCAAAAGUGCUCAUUAAAAUUAUUAUAGAUA